rnacentral:lncRNA from 1 species
GAAAUUAUUCAGCAGACAUAAAAACGUCCUGAGUCUUUGUCCUCUAGCACUGAAGACAAAUUUUAUGUAUCUUUUAAAGUGGUUGUUUUUGAUGUGGUUGUUAUGUACGUGCAUUCAGGUAAAAAUAGGUAAUUAAAUGAUACCUAUUUUAUAGGCUUUAAUUGGCCUAUAUAUUUUUAAAGUAUUUUUUUAGUUGUAGAUGGACACAAUACCUUUAUUUAUUAUGUGGUGCUGAGGAUCAAACCCAGUGCCUCACAUGUGCAAGGCACGUGCUCUACCAGCGUCAUGGUCUGCUUAUUGAUAUACAUUUUUUUUCUUGUUUCUCCUGUAGCACAGUUGACUACUAGUUUGGUCCCUGAGGCAGAGGUCCUAUAGGGAUCACAUAGCAGAGUUUGCUGUGUAUAUUCCUUACUGGACAGUAAGGGUAGGUAGGAUCACUCAAUUUACAGUGGAAGUCAGUGGCAAAAUGAAGUUCAUAGGUAGAAAUUUACCAUAUAAAACACGUACAUUCUCUCUUCUAUCUGAGUAUGUAAAUACACAGAUAAAUAUGUAACAUAGUAGUUUAGGACAGGCCUGAAGA